GAUGAACGCUGGCGGCGUGCCUAAUACAUGCAAGUCGAGCGAACAGACGAGGAGCUUGCUCCUCUGUCGUUAGCGGCGGACGGGUGAGUAACACGAGGAUAACCUACCUAUAAGACUGGGAUAACUUCGGGAAACCGGAGCUAAUACCGGAUAAUAUAUUCAACCGCAUGGUUCAAUAGUGAAAGUCGGUUUUGCUGUCACUUAUAGAUGGAUCCGCGCCGCAUUAGCUAGUUGGUAAGGUAAAGGCUUACCAAGGCAACGAUGCGUAGCCGACCCAAGAGGGUGAUCGGCCACACGGGAACUGGGACACGCUCCGGACUCCUGCGGAAGGCAGCAGCAGGGAAUCUUGCGCAGUGGUCGCAAACCUGACGGAGCAACGGGGCGUGAGUGAUGAGGGUCUUCGGAUCGUAAAACUCUGUUAUUAGGGAAGAACAAGUGUGUAAGUAACUAUGCACGUGUUGACGGUACCUAAUCAGAAAGCCACGGCUGACUACGUG
rnacentral:rRNA from 1 species